rnacentral:lncRNA from 1 species
AUGGCUUCCUCCACGACGGAGCAGGAUCUGGGGCUGGAGCAGGAGCUGAAGGUGGUUCUGGAGGUGGUUGGUGCAGAAGACGGGGUGAAGCAACAGUCAGGCCAGGGGAGAGUGCAGGAAGAGGUUGGAGAAGAGUGUAGAGCUGCUGAGGCUGAAGCUGAGGCAACACUUCCGGUCUCAGGUGCCAGUUUUUCCCACCAGCAAGAACCAGUCUGGACUGACAAAAAAGAGGAGUGUCUGAACUGCCAGUGCCCAUCAGUUCCUACAGAGACCUCAGACCUUCAGCAGCUUUCAGACCAAACAGCACCACCCGUUGUGGAGCUCUCUAGCCCAACACAAAUACAAGACUGCCCACACCACCUGUGUCCUGAUCAAGAAACCUCAGAAGGAGGCCAAUAUGUCCCUUUAGAUGUUCCAGAACAUGACGAAACGGAGGAUAGAUCCAAUUUGAUUGGACCUAACCAGGAACAAGAAGUGAAACAAGCUCACCUGGAGGCUUUAGAAAGGGACCAAGAUCCAGAACCAAAGCAAGAGAACCAGGAGAACCCAAUAAACAUGUCAGACUCAGAGAAGAACGAGAACCAAGAGAGUCAAGUGUCUGAGCAUUGUGACUGGGAGGGAGCUGUCCCAAUUGUGAUGGUCACUAAUCUAGAGGAGGUGUCAGCAGAGAGGCAGGCAGAGGACGAGGCGGAAUCCGAAAAGCAGGAGGGCACCGUGCCCGCUGAUGUCAGCCCCUCUGCCAGUCCCAGUGACGUCACGGAGUUCAGCAGCGGUGACUUGCAGUUCCUGAAGAGCGACAGUGUGUCUCUCUGCAGUGAAACAACCAUCUCUGGCAAGUCUCUGUUCCAGAGGAUGCAGAUGGACCCUCUGGAGCGGGAAUGGUUACGGUGUGCUGCAUUAGGAAAUGCUCCUGGCCUGCGCCAGCUUCUGCUCCAGGACCCCUCCCUGGCCCCCAAAAAGGUGAAGCCCCCUUCAACCCCCCUUCCUUUUCUGCAGACCCCACCAGAAACAGUAAUGCCUUCUAU